rnacentral:rRNA from 1 species
AUUGAACGCUGGCGGCAGGCCUAACACAUGCAAGUCGAACGAGUGGCGGACGGGUGAGUAAUGUCUGGGAAACUGCCUGAUAGAGGGGGAUAACUACUGGAAACGGUAGCUAAUACCGCAUACCAUCGGAUGAGCCCAGAUGGGAUUAGCUAGUAGGUGGGGUAAAGGCUCACCUAGGCGACGAUCCCUAGCUGGUCUGAGAGGAUGACCAGCCACAGUGGAACUGAAACACGGUCCAGACUCCUACGGGAGGCAGCAGUGGGGAAGAUUGCACAAUGGGCGCAAGCCUGAUGCAGCUAUGCCGCGUGUAUGAAGAAGGCCGUAGGGUUGUAAAGUACUUUCAGCGGGGAGGCGUUACCCGCAGAAGAAGCACCGGCUAACUCCGUGCCAGCCGCCGCGGUAAUAC